UUCAGCCGGGCAUACGAGGCGUCCAUUGUGCAACGAAAAGUUAAACUGUUGUAAAUCUUUAUUUUUCGCUAACUGUUCAACAUACUUAAUCAUGGAUAUAUGUGACAUAGAUGCUGCUACCGCUGUAGACAUUGUCGUGUUUUGGACGUUAAACUUCAUGUGUUCAAUUAGACUUGGAGUAGGUUAAAAUAUUGAAAUGAGCACUUCGUAAACGCCACCACUCUGGAUCAGCAGACGAUUUAUUGCCUAUCUUACGGAGGAAUUCGAGAUAGCCGAUGUAUCACGAAUGAAACUCUAUAAAUAAUUUGAUAAAUGUCAAGGUCUGACACACAUGGGUUUUUCUAACGAGUUCGUUACUGUUGCUACAUUUCGAUGCGUCAACAAUCAUUAAUGAAGCGCACACAUUACGGAAUUCAAUAUUCGCAUUGUGUCGCCAGAAUCUCGGCGGUCUGUUUUAUAUUUAUUAGCAAGCUAAUUAAUGGAAUUUAAAUAGUGUCGUUAUAAAGCAUUUAUAUACCCGUGGAUACGUUUAAAACAACAAAGCAUAUUCGGACUUCUGAUGAUCCUGUAAUUGUCUGUUACAUAUGUUUUGGAAGCAUCCAUGGCACGACCUGUACCUCCGAGGAAUAUACUGUGGAUCCUUUAUGUGUGCUUUGUAAUGUACUGUGCUUUGAUUGUGACAUAUCUACGGGGUUUAGUGAUGAACUGUUUAAAUCAAGCGCAAGUUGGAUUCAUGCAUACCGGUGUCGGAGGGACAUUUAAGUGGUGUUACUAUCGAACCCAUUUUAGUCAUGCAUUCGUUGGAUUUGGGAAUAGACAAUUUAAACUAAGCACUUCUCUAUCGCAUAUACUACUCCACACAAAAAGAGCUUCUACGUGUACAGGUAGAAACGAUGACGGGGGAGGAUUGCCUCGAAAAGAUGAAAGAAUAUAUCAACAGACGGUUGAGAAUGUCCUGCAGGAGAACGAAGUCAUGAGACAUCGGAUCGUGUGCACGAUAUGUAACACAAGAGACAGGCGUGUGGUGUUCCUUCCAUGCGGACAUUUUCUAACAUGUGAAUUGUGCGGGCAAGAGACAGACACCUGUCCAGCAUGCAGACGGGGAAUGAACUCGCGUGUCGUUGUGAACCAGUGACAUUAGCCGAAAUAAUUAAGCGAUGUAGUACUGUAAAAUUUAUUAAAUACUUCAAGAUUGACAUAGACAUUAAAAUGGAAACAUUUACUAUAGUUUAUUGAAAUAAUGUUAGAGGUACUUUUUAAAUGAAAUAAAGCCAUAAUGUUUUUGACCUUACAGUUGCAAAAUGAACCAAAUGGUGUAAAUGUUAUAUUUGAAAAAAACAAGUUAAGCUAACAUCAUAGAAACGCCGUUUAAAAUUAAUUUGAAACAUAUGUUGUAUUGUGUAUUGCUUUUUUUAUAAUUUUACUUCUAUGUUUAAAAGAGCCCGAAUUAUUUAAAUGCUACUGUAAUUAGUGAAUUAAUCUACACAAUGAUGCAAGCUGUGUUCUAAACACUUAAUUGACUGAGCGGUACAAAUGCGGCAAAUCUAUCUACGGCAAUACGCCACACUUUAGGCCCAUGGCUUAGUGCUACUCGUAGUACAUUAUAUUUCGCAGGUGCAGAAGGCGACGGCGCUAAACAUUUACAAAUACAAAUGUAGUUGUGGUCAGUACUGUUGCAGCAACAGUGUUAAUGAGACAGACGACAACUCAUUAUGUUUACUGUAUGUUUCAUUCGAAUUUGUAAUUGAGACCAAAGUAUGAACAUGUACUUUAUUGUCUAUGUUUGUUUUUUUACAAAAUGGAUAUUGUUUUCCUUCAUCUGCAUGACCAAGGAGAUUCCACGAUAAAGCAAGGAGCGUGAGACGUGAUAUGUAAAAGCAACCGUUUAAAUAGAACAUUUAUGUAAACUGCUAAUCGUGCAAAAACUUGUAAAUUGUAAGUACGUGCAAAAACUAUUACUUCAUAUGCUUGACAUGAAUUCCAUUAUUUUAGGUUCUAAACACUUGUAGAACACGGUUGUUGGUCAAAAUAAUUCCAGAUUUGAAUACUGUAUAUUGCAUGAAAGAGGUGGUAUUUUUUUAUUCCAUAAUGAUUUAUUUUUCAGAGUUUCAUCGUUUGCUGUAUUUAAUUUGCGUAAAACGCAAUUUGAUAGUUAAUAUGUUUGUUUAUGGCGAUGACUUUUACAUGCUUAAUUCAAAAUAAACUAUUUUGUUCCAUUAUGCUCUGCUUAUUAAAGCGUGAGAAUAAUUGUGAAGAGUGCAAAUCGGACAAUAUUCAAAAUCAUAACGCGAAAACUAAGUAUAUCUGUUCGUUUGGAUUAGUGUGGUUAUUGUUAGCUAAAAGGGACUGUAUGACGGCAAAAUCGGUACCGCCGAGUAGUGAGAUGUGUGAAAGACAAGGCAGAGAUCAAAUACUCUUGUGUUUUCGAAUUAGUAAUGAAAACAACAUUAACGAGAGGGACUUGUAAGUGGCGUUGCUAUCUGAACCAAUUUGGUCACGCAUUCGUUGUAUUUAAGAUUGGAACAUUAAAACUCGGCACUUCGAUAUCAAAUAUACUAACGAACACAAAUAGAGCUACUCGUACUACGUGUAACGGUAGGUAGAAAAGAUGAAGGGGAAAUAUUACAUCGAUACAUGGAAUUAAUAGAAGUAUAUAUGAACAGACAAGUACUCUUUUUUCCAAAAUGUAUUAGUGUGACUGAUAGGUAGUUUCGCUUGCAAGUAAAAUAUGUUGUCAAUUGUUCCGUCAAUGAAUUUGGUAUAUAGGUCACAUAUCGCAAGCAUGUGUUAUUGUUUGUUCACAGGGUUUUCCAUUGGUUUUCUAUUGGUGUUAAAAAGGUCACAAAUAUUUACAUGUCAAUUACGUUUAUGCAUGAUUAUAAAGCUACAGAUACAAUGAA